GGGGGGGGGGGGGGGGGGGGGGGGGGGGGGGGGGGCGGGCGGGGGGGCCGCGUUGGGGGGGUGCUCGGGUGGCGAACGGGUGGGUAACACGUGAGUAGCCUGCCCUUGACUUUGGGAUAACUUCAGGAAACUGGGGCUAAUACCGGCUAGGAGCUCCUGCUGCGUGGUGGGGGUUGGAGAGUUUCGGCGGUUGGGGCUGGACUCGCGGCUUAUCAGCUUGUUGGUGGGGUAGUGGCUUACCAAGGCUUUGACGGGUAGCCGGCCUGAGAGGGUGACCGGCGACAUUGGGACUGAGAUACGGCCCAGACUCCUACGGGAGGCAGCAGUGGGGAAUAUUGCACAAGGGGUGGAAGCCUGAUGCAGCAACGCCGUGUGCGGGAUGACGGCCUUCGGGUUGUAAACCGCUUUCGCUCAUGACGAAGCUUUGUGUGACGGUAGUGGGUAAAGAAGCACCGGCUAACUACGUG
rnacentral:rRNA from 1 species